CUUAGUACCUCUCUCGUUUUCCUCCUCGCCGGCAAAGUUUCCGUCGUUGUUUCUCUUCACUCUCCCACCACGAAGAAUCUAAGGGGGGGCGAUGAAGCAAGCAAGCCCCUUCUUCCGUCGCGGAGAGCACUUCUUCGAUGACCUCUCCCGCUCCAAUUUCUGUUACGAAUCGUUCGGAUUACAUAUCCUCCUCGGACGAGGAAUACCAAAAGUGCAGUCGAAUUCUCAGUCCAGUGACGAUCCGCGGAAGGUGAUGUUACAGAGGCUGGCUGAGCUUGUCACAGGGCAUAUGGGUGGGGGGAUCUGCGGAAGAUUGAGUAUUGACAAGGUGGACUGAAAAAAAGAAAUGAGUUCAAGGCAGCAGUGAACACUUGUAUAUGCCCUCUUGGCUCUUGGCCUCUCCAGGCAUCGUGCUCUGCUUUUCAAGGCAAUUUCUUGAACCCUCUCUUUCUGGAUUUAGUGUCUUUUCUUUUAAUCCCAUUUCCUUUUCCUUGUGUCUGGCUAGUUAUGAACUUCUUGACUGAUGGACUGAUUUUAAAUGAAAUCAUUAUGUGAGCGAAAGCCUUUUUGCUGUGAAUUUUGUUAGCCCGAGUGGAUGGCUCCAGAAGUUUUACGCAAUGAGCCUUCAAAUGGAAACAACAUUGAGAUUGCCUUGGCGAGGAAUGAACCCGAUGCAAGUAGUAGGAGCAGUUGGUUUCCAGAAUCGCAGGCUUGAGAUCCCAAAGGAGGGAAGAAUCAUCUUGGGAAUGUUGGCAAACGUAACUCGUAGAUUCGAAUCUGUGGCCCUCCUUUGCUCACUGACGGAAGUCCUGAACCAGCUCGUGCUUCCUUCACCACAAGAGUUUCCAACUGUGAAUAUAUGAAAGACGGAAAAGCCGCCAUGCUGUGCUUAAUAUUAUUGGGUUUUUAACUUGGGCUCCUCUGUUUCCCACAAUGGACGCUUAUCGCUCUGAGGCCAAAGCUUUUCCAUCAGUAUCAUCAUUCCAAUAUACGGUUCGAUUAUAAAAUUUAAUAGUAUUGUUUGUUUACCACUAUUUUUUCUUAUCCAUAUCAACUUGUGUUCCUAAUCAUAGUGCCUAUUUUAACCCAUACAGAAAACUGAUAUCCAGUGGAUAUUGGUUUGUAUUGUUCUUCUAAUUUUGGAUCAUAUAAAUCACAAUUAGUGAUUAUGGGACGAAAAUGAUAUAUUGAGAGACUUGGGGGUAGAUAGAGUAAAUAGAUACUCUCGAAGGAGAGAGUGUACGUGGAGUGCUAGAGAAAGUGAGUGAUUAGGGUCCACGAAUUGGCGCGAAUUCCAUGGGGAUGAAAGAAGAAACUCACCGAAGUCGAAGGAUGAACAACAAUGUCACUUUCUCUCUCUCUUAUUUUUUUUUGUUUACUCAUUCCUACAGUCGCUCCUUCGC